rnacentral:rRNA from 1 species
UACGUAGGCAGCAAGCGUUGUUCGGAGUUACUGGGCGUAAAGAGUGCGUAGGCGGUCCUUUAAGUUCGGUGUGAAAUCUCCCGGCUCAACUGGGAGGGUGCGCCGGAAACUGGAGGGCUCGAGUAUGGGAGAGGAAAGCGGAAUUCCUGGUGUAGCGGUGAAAUGCGUAGAUAUCAGGAGGAACACCUGCGGUGUAGACGGCUUUCUGGACCAUGACUGACGCUGAGGCACGAAAGCGUGGGGAGCAAACAGG